GAUGAAGAACGUAGCAAAAUGCGAUAAGUAAUGUGAAUUGCAGAAUUCAGUGAAUCAUCGAAUCUUUGAACGCACAUUGCGCCCACCAGUAUUCUGGCGGGCAUGCCUGUUCGAGCGUCAUUUCAACCCUCAAGCACAGCUUGGUGUUGGGACUCGCGUUAAUUCGCGUUCCUCAAAUUGAUUGGCGGUCACGUCGAGCUUCCAUAGCGUAGUAGUAAAACCCUCGUUACUGGUAAUCGUCGCGGCCACGCCGUUAAACCCCAACUUCUGAAUGUUGACCUCGGAUCAGGUAGGAAUACCCGCUGAACUUAAGCAUAUCAAUAAGCGGAGGA
rnacentral:misc_RNA from 1 species